UGACCUUUGGAUAUCCAUAACUUGAGGACAAAUUAUGGACUCCAUUAAAACACAUAAAUGAUCAAGAAUUAAUUCUAAACAAUUCAGCAAAUAAUUCCUAUCAUCUUCUAAAUUCAUAAGAACAUGAACAUGAUCAUCAAAAUUUCAAGAAUUAUAUGAACACAUAAAAAACAUGGAAUUUUGAUAUAUGCUAUUGUAAAUGGAUUAGAACAACCAUUACACCAACUAAAACAAGUUUUAAAACACCAAAACAGUUUAGGGUAAUGUUUCUAGUCCAUUUCCAGCAGCAAAAGUCGAAAUUCUGCAUUCUGAUCAUUCUACUCGCCGAGUGCACGAACCUACUCGCCGAGUAGGAUGAAUUUUGCCUUGAACUCGGCGAGUCCCCCCAUGGACUCGGCGAGUCCAUCAGCCAGACAGCAACGAUUUCAACUUUUUUCACUAUUUUGCAUCAAGUAUCAAACAAGCAAGCCUAGGCUCUGAUACCACUGUUGGGUUUUGAGCAAUCUAACACUUCCUAAGUGUGCAUGCAACCCUAAUAAACCUUGGAUCUAUGUUUGUCUAAAUACAUGCAAAAUAAUAAUUUUUCCAAGGUUCAUAACCUAUCUAACAUGGCAUGGGGUACUUUUAAACAUAAAAGAAUUAGAUGAGAUUACAUACCUUUUGAUGAUGAGUUUGAUUCCUAAGGAGUUUGAGGGCCAAGCACCAAUAGUGUGAAUGCCUCAAAUGGAAAUCACAA
rnacentral:lncRNA from 1 species